GGUGGGAGCUGGCUUGCCUGCGAUGCAAGCAACUCGGUCUGCCAGUUACACCGAGGUGAUGCCAUCGCAGGCAAGCCAGCUCCCACA
rnacentral:antisense_RNA from 1 species